UGUUGUGGGUGUCAGCAAAGCUGUAGCUGCUCUUGGGCUAACCUCAGCUCUUAACCUCAGGCUUAACAGUGGGAUGAUGCUGAGCAUAACCAAACUUGGAUCUGAAUACUAUGSAGUCCAAAAGACUGAAUCCAUGCAGAACAGAAAUAAGAGAGGACUUGCACAACUGAAGUUCUGCCAUGAGCCUGAGGCUCCUGUGCUGUAACCUGUUUCUGAAUAACGGAGUGUGGUAGCUGUAUCACUUCCAGCUCUGUCAUCUUCAUGUGAAGGCUGGGAGUGCGCUUGGGUGUCACGUCAUUUUGGGUCUUCAGUUGUGAAGAAUGGCUCAGAUUACCAAUUUCUAUCUCCUACUGAUCCAGAGACUGGAGUUUAGCUUCUCAUACAACUCCUUCUAUUGCUAAUUAAUCCAGGUUUUGRGGCAGUAAUUUAUUGCAGUUCAUCAUGAGUUCCUUCAGUCUUCAGUGCUUAGGGAAGUGCAUUUACUGAGGAAAAGAGGAAGUUUCAUCCUUUCUUUUCAACACAGCCCCACGCACUUCGAGCCAUGCCAUUUAAUGUAGCAGCAAUGGUGUUGCUAUACAUUCUUUCCCUUUUCCUGUAGUCAACUAAAUCUUGUGUUUUGGAGGUUGUUGGCUAGGUUUUACAUCUCUUGUUCUUGCUGCAUGUUUCGAGCAGCAGAUCUGUCACAAAAGGUAGGGUGACAGUGGAAUCACUGCGGUUUAUGCCCAACUUAGAGGUGGGCCUUGGUCAUGCAACUUGCAGUAGGAGGCAGGAUGCUCCAAAGGCAAUAAAAUCCAUAGUUCAGCAUUUUACAGCAGUCUGUUUUCUACAAAUGUAGACCUAUAAAAAUUCAUAGAAUUUGCUUCUGACUUCCACUGAUGAAAACAAGAAGUGAGUUUGUAUUUUAAAUUCACAUGCAAUCCAUUCUAUCUUUCAAAGUUCUGGACUGUUUUCUUGUAAUCUUUCUGUUAUUAAACC